CUGAAGGCAUUGGCAGGGAUCGCCUGAAUGUAGAUGUUGUCCUGCAGGUCGCUAAGCAACACAGAGAUGAAAACCACAACAUAAAUGUAUGGAAAGGAAAGCUGACAGUUUCUCCAGGUGCUGGAGACCAGUGAAGACGCCCUGAUGGAUCGCUGAGAUCUUUUCCCGAUUUAUGUUCCUGCAGUUUGACAAAAGAAACCCACAUCAGAUCCACGUGAUGCAAGAAUGAACAUCGUCUGGAAUAACGAUAUGAGAAUUUUCACACAUGGCAGGAACGCGUUUGGUAUUCACUCCGACGUGUGAAUUUAUAAACGGUUGUGAAGAGUU